GGUAUACUUAAUGUGAACCUAUUUAAUUAAACUAGAUUACAUUUUGGCUGGCUAAUCAAUGCAUUUAGAACCUUCGAAACAGCAAUUCAUUUCAGUACUUUACUGCCUCAUUAUUAAAAAAAAAAAUACCAGAAGUGCAGGCUGUAAAUGUUAGAAUUGUUGAUAAACACGAUAGGAAUUGAUCAAACUGCUGACUACAGUUAACACUGGCUGAUAAGGUGUUUUGAAGGAUUAUGGGUUGACUACUUUAUCCUAUUAAUAGUUUGGCGUUUUUAGAUAAUAACAUAGGAUUUGGCAAACAAUGUCUAGUCAAUUACUCACUGACUCUCUGACACUCUUUGAGCCAUUUUCCGAUAAACCCCAUGUAUUCAGUUAUAACGCAAUCAUUACGCAAUAAAAAUGUUUGUAACACUAUUUGUACUCUAUAUAGGCUCAUAAAUCUCCGCUAAAAUGCUGUCCGAAUGCACAAGAGAGAAAUCAACAACCAGAAUGUAUAUAAUAUAUUUUUGUUUUUGCAGGAAUGUCUUCAGAAGUAAAGCGAGGCCGUCCUUCAUCAUUUCCGGUUGUGGAAGUUCAACAGUUGCUUACUCACUACAAACACGAAAUUAUAAACGGUGGAAAGAUUGCAGGAAAGAAGAAUGAAGUGUGGAAAGAAAUAGUUAAAAUUGUAAAUUCCAAUUCAACUAGAAAACCAUCGCUAAAAGCCGAACAUUUAUGUAUUGCCGUUAAACUGAACAGAUAUCACCUUCUUGACUUCAUUCUCAGCCAAGGCUCAGAAGGUAUAAGUGGAUUGACAGCUGAAGGGAAACAGAUGUACGAACGUCAACAAAGUACGGUAAGUAGAAACUAGACAGCCGUCUUCCUUCGUAGAGUAGUGGAUACAUAGCUGUUGUAUUACAUAUAUCACCUUCUUGACUUCAUUCUCAGCCAAGGCUCAGACGGUAUAAGUGGAUUGACAGCUGAAGGGAAACAGAUGUACGAACGUCAACAAAGUACGGUAAGUAGAAACUAGACAGCCGUCUUCCUUCGUAGAGUAGUGGAUACAUAGCUGUUGUAUUACAUAUAUCACCUUCUUGACUUCAUUCUCAGCCAAGGCUCAGAAGGUAUAAGUGGAUUGACAGCUGAAGGGAAACAGAUGUACGAACGUCAACAAAGUACGGAUCAAGAAUUAAAAAGCGGCAUCUUCAUCAAGUCUGAGACUGAAGCGGACUUAGAGAUCUACGACUACAAUUCUAUGGAUGACUGCCCAAUCAAUUGUGUGCAAGAAGGCCUGCCCACGUGACCCUGCAAGUCAGAACAUGCCGCAGCCGCUCGACUACAACAUCUAGUUUUGCCUUUCGGUACUAUAGACAUGGGGGAUAACACUGCACGAAGAAAAAUCACCACGAAGCCAGAAAUGCCGCCUAUCAACUGAACCGCACGGGGCCGUAAGAGGCGCUGCGGCUGCAGUUGAAACUACUGAUGCUACAUUUCGCACAGGAAAUAGUUCAGAUCGAGAGUUCCUAUGAUUGGGUUUUACCUAUAUACAACUUGAUAAACACAAUUUUAUUUUCCUAUUUAGCCAAAUCGGGAGUAAAUAAUACAUAACUAUGGUACAAAUAAAUUGAAUACCAGACAUUUA
rnacentral:lncRNA from 1 species